rnacentral:rRNA from 1 species
GACGAACGCUGGCGGCGUGCUUAACACAUGCAAGUCGAACGGAAAGGCCCCUUUGGGGGUACUCGAGUGGCGAACGGGUGAGUAACACGUGAGUAACCUGCCCUUGACUUCGGGAUAACUUCAGGAAACUGGGGCUAAUACCGGAUAGGAAUCCUUGCUGCAUGGUUGGGGUUGGAAAGCUUCGGUGGUGUUGGAUGGACUCGCGGCUUAUCAGCUUGUUGGUGGGGUAGUGGCUUACCAAGGCUUUGACGGGUAGCCGGCCUGAGAGGGCGACCGGCCACAUUGGGACUGAGAUACGGCCCAGACUCCUACGGGAGGCAGCAGUGGGGAAUAUUGCACAAUGGGCGGAAGCCUGAUGCAGCAACGCCGCGUGCGGGAUGACGGCCUUCGGGUUGUAAACCGCUUUCAGCAGGGGCGAAGCUUGUGGUGACGGUACCUGCAGAAGAAGCACCGGCUAACUACGUG